rnacentral:rRNA from 1 species
GACAGAGGGUGCAAACGUUGCUCGGAAUCAUUGGGCGUAAAGCGCACGUAGGCGGCUCCAAAAGUCGGAUGUGAAAUCCCUGGGCUCAACCGAGGAAGUGCAUCCGAAACUGCGGAGCUUGAGUAUGGAAGAGGGUCGCGGAAUUCCCGGUGUAGAGGUGAAAUUCGUAGAUAUCGGGAGGAACACCAGUGGCGAAGGCGGCGACCUGGGCCAAUACUGACGCUGAGGUGCGAAAGCGUGGGGAGCAAACAGG